CCUACGGGUGGCAGCAGUGAGGAAUAUUGGUCCAUGGGCGCGAGCCUGAACCAGCCAAGUCGCGUGAGGGACGACGGUCCCAUGGAUUGUAAACCUCUUUUGUCGGGGAGCAAAAUCCGCCACGCGUGGCGUUCCGAGAGUACCCUAAGAAAAAGCAUCGGCUACCUCCGUGCCAGCAGCCGCGGUAAUACGGAGGAUGCGAGCGUUAUCCGGUUUUAUUGGGUUUAAAGGGUGCGCAGGCGGAAUAUCAAGUCAGCGGUAAAAUUGAGGGGCUCAACCUCUUCGAGCCGUUGAAACUGGGUGUCUUGAGAGAGCGAGAAGUAUGCGGAAUGCGUGGUGUAGCGGUGAAAUGCAUAGAUAUCACGCAGAACUCCGAUUGCGAAGGCAGCAUACCGGCGCUCAACUGACGCUCAUGCACGAAAGUGUGGGUAUCGAACAGGAUUAGAUACCCGGGUAGUC
rnacentral:rRNA from 1 species